CUGACAGAAUCUGCUUACAAG
rnacentral:piRNA from 1 species